CCCCUCUCUGGGUCACACCUGGAGAGUUUUCAGUACUCUACGAGUCUCGACUUCAGGAGGGAGAGUCAAGCAGAGGCCUACCCUUUCCAUUCCUAGCUUGACCAGUGGCUAGAGAGCGGAAGGCAAUCUGCUACAAGU